GUCUCCAGGAGAUGAGGCUGUGGCGAGGGGAAGUGUGUGUGUGUGUGUGUGUGUGUAAAGGGGGGCGUGCCUGAGGGGCCUGGGCUCGGGGAAGGGUACAGAGAGGGAACUUGGAAAGCCCAGAGCCUGGGAAUGGAGGAGGUGGAAGGGCAGAGCUCUCUCCACCCCCUAGCCCAGUACUAGGAGAGAAGAAAGGACAGGGGACCCCAGGAGCUGGGGUUGGGGAGAGAGAGUGACCCUGAGGCAAGCGGACGCGACGCGAUAGGGAGCCCAAGAGAGGAAAAAAGGGACGAGCACGUCUGAAACUGAGGGUUAGGUAUUAGAAAAGGGCAAACAACAGCCAUGCUGAGAUGCCGCUCGCUGCUCGGAGAACCAAGUCUCAAAUUUUGCUUCAGUGGCCUUGGCAUUUAAUGCAUGAAUGGCGAAUGGCGUCUAUGCUAGCUUAGGCAAUGUGAUAUUUUCAGUAGCCCUGACCUCACCAGUGGCGCAGCCUUCUGGGCUGGCUGUUGGUUCCUAGCCGCAAGAACUCCUGCACCCACCAUUUGCCAGGUCACCAGGCCUGUACACUGUCCCGCGGGAGCUGGAGGGGUCACAGAAGCCUUUGGCUGACGGGGUGUUUUCACCUCCAGUUUCACCUCUUAUCUGUGCUCCAGGGAGGAGACUGAGGUCUGGAGUCUGAUGGGAGGCACGUGGGAGCAGACAGGUCUCUCAUCCUUUGGCCCAAUUUCUCCCCAGCCCCAAGCCUGCCUUCGGGGCUGGAAUCAGCAUGAAAGGAGAGUAAAAAGUGCGGAUUGUGCCCGAAGAUAGUUGGGUCUGCUGUAAGCUCUAAUGAUGAAGGCAUCGCCAAAAGGCCACUUAAUUUCUCAGUCACCACAGAGGAGGGAAUCUGACUUUCCUGAAACGAUUUUAAUUUUUAACUGUAGCUCCUAUGGAUCAGGCUGAAGCUAGAUUCCAGCCAAGACCACAUCCUUGCUCAGUUUCUUCCCUUGUCCUGUUCCACUUGGUCUGCUUUUCCUGAGAGGUCCACACAUUACUCCUACCUGAAUCCCUAUGUCAGUGACUUGGAGUGAGAUGGAUUGAACCAGAAAGAUUAUUCCAGAAGAAUUUUCCAAUCUUCAGCCUAGAGGCAAAUGUUUGGCUUCCAGAGUGCUGAAGGCUGGGCAUUUCAACAUUCAGUCCAGUUUAGCACAUAGAGCUUGUUGUUAGGGAUAGAAGAAGAAUGACUCAAGAUUCCCUAGGCUGACCUUGAUGGAUCUCUAAAGCAGUGUGAUGUCCUGGACCCUCUCAGGGCCAUUCCAGGCGGCUCCAUGAAAAAUAUUGCAUAUUGCACCUCCUGAGAGCCACCCUGAACUAAGACAGAGGAAAGCUGGCGGGAAAUGAUGCUGCUGCCUCACCCCCCAGAUGACAGUGCUGAAGCCAGCUCUUCAGUGAAUCAGAAUUCUCAGAGAACUGGAUCCCAGUUGUCUUCCUGCUGAGAUUACCGCUAAAUAGAGUGCUGCACCACAUCCAGGGUACAUUUUGGGGAAGCCAGCCUAAGUCUUGUCCCCAGUCUCCAAUCCAUUCUCCCCAGAGCAACUAGAAUAUUCUUAAAACGGCUCAAGCUUUGUACAGCCUCUGAAAUAUUUCUGAAGGGACAGGAAGAACAAUACCAGGAAAGAAAGAGGCCGACACUCACAGAAGAGAAGGCACUGGGGCUAUUUGGAAAGGACAUUGGACAUUGCAUGUAAUGGGUUGGACAGUAGACACAAAAAGGCCUGUCCAAGUCCUAAACUUCAGUACUUAUGAAAUUAUCUUAUUUGGAAAUAAAAUCUUUGCAGAUAAGAACCUAAACAAAAGAUCAUUCUGAAUUAAGAGGGGCCCUAAAUCCAAUGACAGUAGAUGCUAUUUAAGAGAUAGGAGAGGAGAAAAUACAGAGACACAUAGAGAAAAAGACCAUGUAAAGAUGGAGGCAGAAGUUGGGAGUGGAGGUUCAUACCUCUUGUUCCAGCUAUUUGGGAAAGUCACUUGAGCCUAGAAGUUCAAGACCAGCCUGUUCAACCUAGUGAAACCCCGUCUCAAAAAGAAGAUAGAGUUAGAGCUUGGAGUUAUGCUACCACAAGCCAAGGAAC